rnacentral:misc_RNA from 1 species
GUACAAAUAUUGACAAGAAGGUUUCACAAGCAGAACUGAAACUGUUUUUUGAGUCGAUAUGCGGAGAGGUUUACCGCUUGAGGCUGCUAGGAGACCAACAUCAUUCCACCCGCAUUGCUUUUGUAGAAUUUGUCAUGGCCGCAAGUGCAAUUGCUGCUCUCAGCUGCAGUGGUGUGGUCCUGGGAUCCUUCCCGAUACGGGUGAGCCCCUCGAAGACU